UCUUUUCCUUUUGUGCCCGCAGCCGCGGUAAUACGUAGGGGGCGAGCGUUAUCCGGAAUUAUUGGGCGUAAAGAGUGCGUAGGUGGCUUUUUAAGCGCGGGGUUUAAGGCAAUGGCUUAACCAUUGUUCGCCCUGCGAACUGGAGAGCUUGAGUGCAGGAGAGGAAAGCGGAAUUCCUAGUGUAGCGGUGAAAUGCGUAGAUAUUAGGAGGAACACCAGUGGCGAAGGCGGCUUUCUGGACUGUUACUGACACUGAGGCACGAAAGUGUGGGGAGCAAACAGG
rnacentral:rRNA from 1 species